CCGCUCUUGGUCUAGUUGGUUAUGGCCCUCGGCUGUAAAAGUCGAAUUUGUAUUUCUUGGAAAAUGAAAUAUUAAAGAUACCGAGUGGUCCCCGGUUCGAUUCCGGGAGAGCGGA